GACGUAGGGCGCGAGCGUUGUCCGGAUUUAUUGGGCGUAAAGAGCUCGUAGGCGGCUUGUUACGUCGGCUGUGAAAUCCCGCGGCUCAACUGCGGGUCUGCAGCCGAUACGGGCAGGCUAGAGUUCGGUAGGGGAGACUGGAAUUCCUGGUGUAGCGGUGAAAUGCGCAGAUAUCAGGAGGAACACCGGUGGCGAAGGCGGCAUCCUGGACCGGUAUUGACACUGAAAAGCGAAAGCCAGGGGAGCAAACGGG
rnacentral:rRNA from 1 species